rnacentral:rRNA from 1 species
UUGGGGGACAGUGGCGGACGGGUGAGUAACACGUUGGUGACCUGCCCCGAAGUGAGGGACAAUCCUGCGAAAGCGGGCUAAUACCUCAUGUGCUCCAGGGGGUUAGAGGCCCCUGGAGUAAAGCUCCGGCGCUUCGGGAGGGACCUGCGGCCUAUCAGCUAGUUGGUGAGGUAACGGCUCACCAAGGCUAAGACGGGUAGGGGGCGUGAGAGCGUGGCCCCCCACAAUGGAACUGAGACACGGUCCAU